rnacentral:rRNA from 1 species
GAUGAACGCUGGCGGCGUGCCUAAUACAUGCAAGUCGAGCGAACGGACGAGAAGCUUGCUUCUCUGAUGUUAGCGGCGGACGGGUGAGUAACACGUGGAUAACCUACCUAUAAGACUGGGAUAACUUCGGGAAACCGGAGCUAAUACCGGAUGAUAUUUUGAACCGCAUGGUUCAAUAGUGAAAGACGGUCUUGCUGUCACUUAUAGAUGGAUCCGCGCUGCAUUAGCUAGUUGGUAAGGUAACGGCUUACCAAGGCAACGAUGCAUAGCCGACCUGAGAGGGUGAUCGGCCACACUGGAACUGAGACACGGUCCAGACUCCUACGGGAGGCAGCAGUAGGGAAUCUUCCGCAAUGGGCGAAAGCCUGACGGAGCAACGCCGCGUGAGUGAUGAGGGUCUUCGGAUCGUAAAACUCUGUUAUUAGGGAAGAACAUAUGUGUAAGUAACUGUGCACAUCUUGACGGUACCUAAUCAGAAAGCCACGGCUAACUACGUG